CCCCGCCCCAGCGGCCCCGAAGGGUCGGUGAGCCCGGCCCGGGGCGGCCCAGCAGGGCGGCCCCUCAGCCGCCCUUGAGCCGGCCCUUGCAGCUGCCCUCUCAGCCGUGCUCUACACCGGCCCUUCAGCCGUCCACGGAGCAGCCCGUAGGGGGAUCCCCUCAGGGCGCCUCCUCAUCCCUCCUCAGACCGGUCCCGAGAGGUCCGUCAGCCGCUUCAGGACGGCCGGUGUGUGUGUGCUCAGCAUACCUGGCUGUGUCACACCCUGCCCACCAGUGACAGCAGAUUCAGACUAUGCCAGAAAUCUGGUGAGAUACCACCAACAUAACUCUCAGGAUGCUACCAGAGAAAAGGGCACCUUUUGGGGAGCACAGCUGUUUGCAGAGAAGAAUGGCCAGCUGGACCACCUGUGGAAGGCAAGACCCAGAUGUGAUCUCUGUUGAUAACCAGGCUGAACCUUACCUAGUUUAAGCAGUUGCUACAAGCUGAGGAGCUGGACCAUCAAGAGAACAUCACAUUGCCCUUCUGGAAAUAAUGGAAAUUAGCCUAGCUUGUUUCAAACCCAGUUUUCUUAUUCAGUUAAUAAAAACCUUUGGGAGAAAAGUCCCA
rnacentral:lncRNA from 1 species